GGACAGUACUGACGCUGAGAUGCGAAGCGUGGGGAGCAAACAGGAUUAGAUACCUGGUAGUCCACGCUGUAAACGAUGUCGAUUUGGAGUUUGUUGCCUAGAGUGAUGGGCUCCGAAGCUAACGCGAUAAAUCGACCGCCUGGGGAGUACGGCCGCAAGGUUAAAACUCAAAUGAAUUGACGGGGGCCCGCACAAGCGGUGGAGCAUGUGGUUUAAUUCGAUGCAACGCGAAGAACCUUACCUGGUCUUGACAUCCAUAGAAUUCUGCAGAGAUGUGGGAGUGCCUUCGGGAACUAUGAGACAGGUGCUGCAUGGCUGUCGUCAGCUCGUGUUGUGAAAUGUUGGGUUAAGUCCCGCAACGAGCGCAACCCUUAUUCUUUGUUGCCAGCGAUUUGGUCGGGAACUCAAAGGAGACUGCCGUUGAUAAAGCGGAGGAAGGUGGGGACGACGUCAAGUCAUCAUGGCCCUUACGACCAGGGCUACACACGUGCUACAAUGGCGUAUACAAAGGGAAGCGAAGGUGCGAGCUGGAGCGGAUCUCAUAAAGUACGUCUAAGUUCGGAUUGGAGUCUGCAACUCGACUCCAUGAAGUCGGAAUCGCUAGUAAUCGUAGAUCAGAAUGCUACGGUGAAUACGUUCCCGGGCCUUGUACACACCGCCCGUCACACCAUGGGAGUGGGUUGCACCAGAGGUAGAUAGCUUAACCGCGAGGGGGGCGUUUACCACGGUGUGAUUCAUGACUGGGGUGAAGUCGUAACAAGGUAACCA
rnacentral:rRNA from 1 species